rnacentral:rRNA from 1 species
CGCGUAGGCGGUUUGUUAAGUCAGAUGUGAAAGCCCCGGGCUCAACCUGGGAACUGCAUUUGAUACUGUCAAGCUAGAGUAUGGUAGAGGGAAGUGGAAUUCCGGGUGUAGCGGUGAAAUGCGUAGAUAUCCGGAAGAACACCGGUGGCGAAGGCGGCUUCCUGGACCAAUACUGACGCUGAGGUGCGAAAGCGUGGGGAGCAAACA